rnacentral:hammerhead_ribozyme from 1 species
GUACUGAAGAGGAGUCCUAAAAUAGGACGAAACGACCGUCCAGUGC